UCGGGUAAUUAUAGGUUAACGGUAAUGUCGGUAAUUACGGUUGUGAUUAUAUUACUGUUUAUUUGUUUAAAUACCUAAAUCUAAACCAAAGUAGGUUACUAUAUUCAAAUGAAAUUCUAUACACUUUGUAUACUUAGGCUGCAUAGUCAGGAUUCCUCAAUGGUGAAUAUAGCGGGUGUUCGUGUUUUGUACAUGGUCGCUAUACUUCUCGUAUUAUAUAGAAUGAAUCCCGGAUGGAAAGUUCGAAGGCAAAAGGUCCAUGGACAAAAAGUCCGUUUUGAAAAAAGUUGGACGAAUAAUCCGGAUU